UACUGCUCAUGUUUGUUAACGUCACC
rnacentral:piRNA from 1 species